rnacentral:rRNA from 1 species
CAUCUAAGCACGAAGCCCCACCCAAGAUAAGAUUUCCCUGGGAGCAAUCCCCUUAAGAGCCCUGGUAGACCACCAGGUUGAUAGGCUGGAAGUGUAAGCACGGCGACGUGUUCAGCGGACCAGUACUAAUCGCUCGUGAGGCUUGGUCUU